AUCUUGAUGAAGUCCCAAAAGUUCAUUUUCGCUUUUGUUUCCUUUGCCUUUGGAGACAUAUCUUGAAAGAAGUUGCUGCAGGCAGGGUGACAGAGGUGGCUACCUGUGUUUCCUCUACCAUUUUGAAGGAUUCUUGUCUCACAUUUAGGCCUUUCAUCCAUUUUGAGUCUAUUUUUG